AGUGAACGCUGGCGGUAGGCCUAACACAUGCAAGUCGAACGGCAGCACAGUAAGAGCUUGCUCUUACGGGUGGCGAGUGGCGGACGGGUGAGGAAUACAUCGGAAUCUACUUUUUCGUGGGGGAUAACGUAGGGAAACUUACGCUAAUACCGCAUACGACCUACGGGUGAAAGCAGGGGAUCUUCGGACCUUGCGCGAUUGAAUGAGCCGAUGUCGGAUUAGCUAGUUGGCGGGGUAAAGGCACACCAAGGCGACGAUCCGUAGCUGGUCUGAGAGGAUGAUCAGCCACACUGGAACUGAGACACGGUCCAGACUCCUACGGGAGGCAGCAGUGGGGAAUAUUGGACAAUGGGCGCAAGCCUGAUCCAGCCAUACCGCGUGGGUGAAGAAGGCCUUCGGGUUGUAAAGCCCUUUUGUUAGGAAAGAAAAGCAGCAGGUUAAUACCCCGCUGUUCUGACGGUACCCAAAGAAUAAGCACCGGCUAACUUCGUG
rnacentral:rRNA from 1 species